rnacentral:rRNA from 1 species
AAAUCGUGUGGCGAGGGCGAGCGGGUAAGUAAUACUUCGAACGUGCCCCAAUCGGGGGGGAAACGCAGAGAAAGCUGUAAUAAUACCGCAUACGAUCUACGGAUGAAAAGCAGGGGAUCGCAAGACCUUGCGCGAAUGGAGCGGCCGAUGGCAGAUUAGGUAGUUGGUGAGGUAAAGGCUCACCAAGCCGUCGAUCUGUAGCUGGUCUGAGAGGACGACCAGCCACACUGGGACUGAGACACGGCCCAGACUCCUACGGGAGGCAGCAGUGGGGAAUUUUGGACAAUGGGCGAAAGCCUGAUCCAGCCAUGCCGCGUGCAGGAUGAAGGCCUUCGGGUUGUAAACUGCUUUUGUACGGAACGAAACGGCCUUUUCUAAUAAAGAGGGCUAAUGACGGUACCGUAAGAAUAAGCACCGGCUAACUACGUGCCAGCAGCCGCGGUAAUACGUAGGGUGCAAGCGUUAAUCGGAAUUACUGGGCGUAAAGCGUGCGCAGGCGGUUAUGUAAGACAGUUGUGAAAUCCCCGGGCUCAACCUGGGAACUGCAUCUGUGACUGCAUAGCUAGAGUACGGUAGAGGGGGAUGGAAUUCCGCGUGUAGCAGUGAAAUGCGUAGAUAUGCGGAGGAACACCGAUGGCGAAGGCAAUCCCCUGGACCUGUACUGACGCUCAUGCACGAAAGCGUGGGGAGCAAAAAGGG